AGCAGCCGCGGUAAUUCCAGCUCCAAUAGCGUAUAUUAAAGUUGUUGCAGUUAAAAAGCUCGUAGUUGAAUUUCGGGAUUGGCGCAUCGGUCGUGCCUCACGGGGUAUGAACUGGUGCAGUCAAUUUCUCACCUUCCGGAGAACCGCGAUGUCCUUAAUUGGAUGCCGCGGGGAACCAGGACCUUUACUUUGAAAAAAUUAGAGUGUUUAAAGCAGGCAUUUUUGCUUGAAUACAUUAGCAUGGAAUAAUAAAAUAGGACGGCAUGGUUCUAUUUUGUUGGUUUCUAGGACCACCGUAAUGAUUAAUAGGGAUAGUUGGGGGCAUUAGUAUUCAAUUGUCAGAGGUGAAAUUCUUGGAUUUAUUGAAGACUAACUACUGCGAAAGCAUUUGCCAAGGAUGUUUUCAUUAAUCAAGAACGAAAGUUAGGGGAUCGAAGACGAUCAGAUACCGUCGUAGUCUUAACCAUAAACUAUGCCGACUAGGAAUCAGACGAUGUUAAUUUUUUAAUGACUCGUUUGG
rnacentral:misc_RNA from 1 species